rnacentral:rRNA from 1 species
UACGUAGGGUGCGAGCGUUGUCCGGAUUUAUUGGGCGUAAAGAGCGUGUAGGCGGCCAGGUAGGUCUGCUGUGAAAACUCGAGGCUCAACCUCGAGACGUCGGCGGAAACCAUCUGGCUAGAGUCCGGAAGAGGAGAGUGGAAUUCCUGGUGUAGCGGUGAAAUGCGCAGAUAUCAGGAAGAACACCCGUGGCGAAGGCGGCUCUCUGGGCCCUACCUGACGCUGAGACGCGAAAGCGUGGGGAGCGAACCGG